CCGAAUAGGGGAGCCGGAGGGAAACCGAGUCUUAACCGGGCGUUAAGUUGCAGGGUAUAGACCCGAAACCCGGUGAUCUAGCCAUGGGCAGGUUGAAGGUUGGGUAACACUAACUGGAGGACCGAACCGACUAAUGUUGAAAAAUUAGCGGAUGACCUGUGGCUGGGGGUGAAAGGCCAAUCAAACCGGGAGAUAGCUGGUUCUCCCCGAAAGCUAUUUAGGUAGCGCCUCGUGAAUUCAUCUCCGGGGGUAGAGCACUGUUUCGGCUAGGGGGCCAUCCCGGCUUACCAACCCGAUGCAAACUGCGAAUACCGGAGAAUGUUAUCACGGGAGACACACGGCGGGUGCUAACGUCCGUCGUGAAGAGGGAAACAACCCAGACCGCCAGCUAAGGUCCCAAAGUCAUGGUUAAGUGGGAAACGAUGUGGGAAGGCCCAGACAGCCAGGAUGUUGGCUUAGAAGCAGCCAUCAUUUAAAGAAAGCGUAAUAGCUCACUGGUCGAGUCGGCCUGCGCGGAAGAUGUAACGGGGCUAAACCAUGCACCGAAGCUGCGGCAGCGACGCUUAUGCGUUGUUGGGUAGGGGAGCGUUCUGUAAGCCUGUGAAGGUGUGUCGUGAGGC
rnacentral:rRNA from 1 species